GUCACGUGCCAAGUUGUUUCAACUAAUGAAUAUUGAAUUGCACGUCUUAAGUGAUGGCCAGAACUUGGUAUAUCAAUGUCAAUUCAUAAAAAUGAUGUAGAGGCAGUGGCAGAUUGUCGAAGGAGAGUAAUCUUACUUCAGGCUUCUUUGAGCUGUAUUGAAGUGUGUGGAUUAGACAAAUCUCCUUUA